CGCGGCCUAUCAGCUUGUUGGGGAGGUAACGGCUCACCAAGGCUUCGACGGGUAGCUGGUCUGAGAGGAUGAUCAGCCACACUGGGACUGAGACACGGCCCAGACUCCUACGGGAGGCAGCAGUGGGGAAUCUUGCGCAAUGGGCGAAAGCCUGACGCAGCAACGCCGCGUGCGGGAUGAAGGCCUUCGGGUUGUAAACCGCUUUUACCAGGAAGGAAAAUGACAGUACCUGGAGAAUAAGGUGCGGCCAACUACGUGCCAGCAGCCGCGGUGACACGUAGGCACCAAGCGUUGUCCGGAUUUAUUGGGCGUAAAGAGCUCGUAGGCGGUUCAGUAAGUCGGGUGUGAAAACUCUGGGCUUAACCCAGAGACGCCACCCGAUACUGCUGUGACUUGAGUCCGGUAGGGGAGUGGGGAAUUCCUGGUGUAGCGGUGAAAUGCGCAGAUAUCAGGAGGAACACCAACAGCGAAGGCAGCACUCUGGGCCGGUACUGACGCUGAGGAGCGAAAGCAUGGGGAGCAAACAGGAUUAGAUACCCUGGUAGUCCAUGCCGUAAACGUUGGGCACUAGGUGUGGGGUCUUCUAACGGAUUCCGUGCCGUAGCUAACGCAUUAAGUGCCCCGCCUGGGGAGUACGG
rnacentral:rRNA from 1 species